rnacentral:lncRNA from 1 species
CUCAAAUUAACAUAAUUUAAGAUAUUUAAUUUGAAUUAUCCAACUAACAGUAAUAGUUGGAGUUUUAAUUAUUUUCAAGAGAGGUUUUUAUCCUCUUCGAGUAAUAAUAUAUUUUCUUCUUUUAUUUCCUAAUUUUUUUACAUUACUUCCCUCUAAAAAAUUUAGACUAAUUUGCUUUCCCCUAUUGUAAAAUUUUCUGCCCCACUUCCAAAACCCUAUCUACCUAAACCUUUCCUUCCUCUAAAAGUCCCUGUGUACCCUAAAACCGCUUUCUCCCUUGCAUUUGUCCCUUGCGUUCCACUCUAAAAUUCGUAACAAAAUUUCAGACCUACUGUGCUUUCUCCCUUUCACGUUCGUCUAGUUCGUCUCUUCCUUUCUUCCUUCUUCUAUUUUCCUCUUCUCAUUCAUUUCUUUGAUUUCCC